rnacentral:rRNA from 1 species
GACGAACGCUGGCGGCGUGCUUAACACAUGCAAGUCGAACGGAAAGGCCCUGCUUUUGUGGUGUGCUCGAGUGGCGAACGGGUGAGUAACACGUGAGUAACCUGCCCUUGACUUUCGUAUAACUUCAGGAAACUGGGGUUACUACCGUAUAGGAUCUCCUCCUCCAUGGUGGGGGUUGGAACUUUUCGGCGUGUGGGGAUGGACUCGCGGCUUUUCAGUUUGUUGGUGGGGUAGUGGCUUACCAAGGCUUUGACGGGUAGGCGGCCUGAGAGGGUGACCGGGCACAUUGGGACUGAGAGACGGCCCAGAGUCCUACGGGAGGCAGCAGGGGGGAAUAUUGCACAAUGGGCGGAAGCCUGAUGAAGCAACGCCGCGUGCGGGAUGACGGCCUUCGGGUUGUAAACCGCUUUCGCCUGUGACGAAGCGUGAGUGACGGUAAUGGGUAAAGAAGCACCGGCUAACUACGUG